rnacentral:rRNA from 1 species
AGUGAACGCUGGCGGUAGGCCUAACACAUGCAAGUCGAACGGCAGCACAGUAAGAGCUUGCUCUUACGGGUGGCGAGUGGCGGACGGGUGAGGAAUACAUCGGAAUCUACUUUUUCGUGGGGGAUAACGUAGGGAAACUUACGCUAAUACCGCAUACGACCUACGGGUGAAAGCAGGGGAUCUUCGGACCUUGCGCGAUUGAAUGAGCCGAUGUCGGAUUAGCGAGUUGGCGGGGUAAAGGCCCACCAAGGCGACGAUCCGUAGCUGGUCUGAGAGGAGGAUCAGCCACACUGGAACUGAGACACGGUCCAGACUCCUACGGGAGGCAGCAGUGGGGAAUAUUGGACAAUGGGCGCAAGCCUGAUCCAGCCAUACCGCGUGGGUGAAGAAGGCCUUCGGGUUGUAAAGCCCUUUUGUUGGGAAAGAAAAGCAGCAGGUUAAUACCCCGCUGUUCUGACGGUACCCAAAGAAUAAGCACCGGCUAACUUCGUG